CCUACGGGGUGCAGCAGGCGCGAAAACUUUACACUGCGGGAAACCGCGAUAAGGGGACCCCGAGUGCCAGCACCUAGUGCUGGCUGUCCUACUGUCUAAAUAACAGUGGUUAGCAAGGGCCGGGCAAGACCGGUGCCAGCCGCCGCGGUAACACCGGCGGCCCGAGUGGUAACCGUUUUUAUUGGAUUUAAAGGGUCCGUAGCCGGCUUACUAAGUCUCUUGGGAAAUCUGGCGGCUCAAUCGUCAGGCGUCCAAGAGAUACUGGUAGGCUUGGGACCGGGAGAGGUGGGAGGUACUCCAGGGGUAGGGGUGAAAUCUCGUAAUCCUUGGGGGACCACCGAUGGCGAAGGCAUCCCACCAGAACGGGUCCGACGGUGAGGGACGAAAGCUGGGGGCACGAACCGGAUUAGAUACCCGGGUAGUCCCAGCUGUAAACGAUGCUCGCUAGGUGUCAGGUGCGGUGCGACCGCAUCUGGUGCCGCAGUGAAAACUUGAAGCGAGUCACCUGGGAAGUACGGUCGCAAGGCUGAAACUUAAAGGAAUUGGCGGGGGAGCAC
rnacentral:rRNA from 1 species